AGUUUUGCCAAAUCACAAAUCAAUCAAACAGACAAGUACAUCCGAACCCGUCGCGGUUCUAGCUUUCACUUUCCGUAGAGGAACGGAUGUUGUUCAAAAACUUGUACUAUUCACACCACGAGUAAUGAGAGUGAAAACAA
ensembl:ncRNA C26B9.9 ncRNA